rnacentral:lncRNA from 1 species
GCAGAGGCAGAGGGACGGCAGAGGCAGAGGCAGAGGCCAAGUGAAGCAGAGUGUGAAUAAGAGAAUUUGAAAAGAACAACAAAAGCUGCAGGACAGUGUGGGUUUAGCCACUGCUAAUUAAUUUCUUCUUACUGGCUAUAAUAAUGAUCCAAUCGGAUCCCAAUUUGGUGAUCUGAUAGAUAGGCCAUUCCCUACAGAAUAGCGUUUUUAG